GUUUUUUACUUUGUUGUGUGUGGGUGAUUUUCUUUCUUUUCUUGCACAGAAAAUGGGCGAUUUUUACUUUCUUGCGUGAAGGAAUGAGCAGCUUUACUUUUGGAUGUGGAAGUGAAUAUUUUUUACUUUCUUGCGUGAGAGAGUGGGCGAUUUUUACUUCUUGCGUGAGAGAGUGGGCGAUUUUUACUUUCCUGCGUGAGAGAGUGGGCGAUUUUUACUUUCCUGCGUGAGAGAGUGGGCGAUUUUUACUUUCCUGCGUGAGAGAGUGGGCGAUUUUUACUUCCUUGUGUGAGAGAGUGGGCGAUUUUAACUUUCCUGCGUGAGAGAGUGGGCGAUUUUAACUUUCCUGCGUGAGAGAGUGGGCGAUUUUUACUUCCUUGUGUGAGAGAGUGGGCGAUUUUUACUUUCCUGCGUGAGAGAUGGGGCGAUUUUUACUUUCUUGCGUGAGAGAGUGGGCGAUUUUUACUUUCCUGCGUGAGAGAGUGGGCGAUUUUAACUUUCCUGCGUGAGAGAGUGGGCGAUUUUAACUUUCCUGCGUGAGAGAGUGG
ensembl:lncRNA